rnacentral:rRNA from 1 species
GAUGAACGCUGGCGGCGUGCCUAAUACAUGCAAGUCGAGCGAACAGACGAGGAGCUUGCUCCUCUGACGUUAGCGGCGGACGGGUGAGUAACACGUGGAUAACCUACCUAUAAGACUGGGAUAACUUCGGGAAACCGGAGCUAAUACCGGAUAAUAUAUUGAACCGCAUGGUUCAAUAGUGAAAGACGGUUUUGCUGUCACUUAUAGAUGGAUCCGCGCCGCAUUAGCUAGUUGGUAAGGUAACGGCUUACCAAGGCAACGAUGCGUAGCCGACCUGAGAGGGUGAUCGGCCACACUGGAACUGAGACACGGUCCAGACUCCUACGGGAGGCAGCAGUAGGGAAUCUUCCGCAAGGGGCGAAAGCCUGACGGAGCAACGCCGCGUGAGUGAUGAAGGUCUUCGGAUCGUAAAACUCUGUUAUUAGGGAAGAACAAAUGUGUAAGUACCUAUGCACGUCUUGACGGUACCUAAUCAGAAAGCCACGGCUAACUACGUG